AGCAGUCGCCGCGGGAAUACGGAGGGUGCAAGCGUUAUCCGGAUUUAUUGGGUUUAAAGGGUCCGUAGGCGGAUCUGUAAGUCAGUGGUGAAAUCUCACAGCUUAACUGUGAAACUGCCAUUGAUACUGCAGGUCUUGAGUAAAUUUGAAGUGGCUGGAAUAAGUAGUGUAGCGGUGAAAUGCAUAGAUAUUACUUAGAACACCAAUUGCGAAGGCAGGUCACUAAGAUUUAACUGACGCUGAUGGACGAAAGCGUGGGGAGCGAACAGGAUUAGAUACCCGAGUAGUCCCUGUCUCUUAUAC
rnacentral:rRNA from 1 species